GCCACCGUAGUCCAGCGGUUGAAACCUGCUUUCCCAGAUAAAACGGAAGCAGAUGUCGGGGGUUCGAUCCUCCCGGUGGCA